rnacentral:miRNA from 1 species
CCUUUGGGGAAGAAGGGAAAC